rnacentral:lncRNA from 1 species
UAGGCAUAGUCAGCAACCAAACUGUACAUCCUUGGGCCUCCUUGGUCAGGUGGAGAGGUAAUAACACCAGCCAUACAAUAUCUCGUCUUGCACGAUCAAUUUCAUACAACAACUUGAAACUUGGGACCAGGAGGUUUCGGAUUCAUUUUGGUCAGGCAGGCUCCGGAUCUGCCAUGUGUCACUGCCAGCAUGGCAAAGUCGUGUGUCAUGGCUUGUUAACUUUUUUAAAAUAGUUUUGCUAGGGAAUAGUCGCCUGAGUCGAUUUGUUAACCGUCUAGUCAAUCCUGCGAUGUGUGCCUCCUCUUCUGUAUCUGAAGCAUCUUGUGGGCAUUUUCCUUCGUUGCUAACCCAAUCCAUGUAGCCAGGUGCCAAACAAAAAAUUGCCAGAUGGGCCAGCCCAACGGUGAGUCCAGCUACCAAAACGGCAAGCAGCACGAGAACAGUUCGUGGGUUUAGUUAUGUCCAUGUCUAUUCUAAAAAAAAAAGCUAUGUCCCCUC